AAAGUAAACAUUUGUACCGUAGACAGCAGGUGCCGGAGGGCUUAAUUUCCUGCCGAGGUAAUGCGUAUAAAUCCGGGGGCGCCUUAAGGCCUCCGCAUGCAUGAAACCUCCAUGUCUCGGGAUAUGGAGGUUUUGUUUUGG
rnacentral:sRNA from 1 species